rnacentral:rRNA from 1 species
UGGGGAAUCUUGGACAAUGGGCGCAAGCCUGAUCCAGCCAUGCCGCGUGAGUGAAGAAGGCCUUAGGGUUGUAAAGCUCUUUUGGCAGGGACGAUAAUGACGGUACCUGCAGAAUAAGCCCCGGCAAACUUCGUGCCAGCAGCCGCGGUAAUACGAAGGGGGCUAGCGUUGUUCGGAUUUACUGGGCGUAAAGCGCACGUAGGCGGAUUGUUAAGUCAGGGGUGAAAUCCCGGAGCUCAACUCCGGAACUGCCUUUGAUACUGGCAAUCUUGAGGCUGGAAGAGGUAGGUAGAAUUCCCAGUGUAGAGGUGAAAUUCGUAGAUAUUGGGAAGAAUACCAGUGGCGAAGGCGGCCAACUGGUCCAGAUCUGACGCUGAGGUGCGAAAGCGUGGGGAGCAAACA